rnacentral:rRNA from 1 species
GAAGAACAACAGGGAUGCCUCAGUAACGGCGAGUGAAGCGGCAACAGCUCAAAUUUGAAAUCUGGCUCCUUCGGGGUCCGAGUUGUAAUUUGCAGAGGAUGUUUCGGGUGAGGCGCCGACCUAAGUUCCUUGGAACAGGACGUCAUAGAGGGUGAGAAUCCCGUAUGUGGUCGGCGGUCGAUCCCAUGUGAAACUCCUUCGACGAGUCGAGUUGUUUGGGAAUGCAGCUCCAAAUGGGUGGUAAAUUUCAUCUAAAGCUAAAUACCGGCCAGAGACCGAUAGCGCACAAGUAGAGUGAUCGAAAGAUGAAAAGCACUUUGGAAAGAGAGUUAAAAAGUACGUGAAAUUGUUGAAAGGGAAGCGCUUGCCACCAGACUUGCUCGUGGGUGAUCAGCCGUUCUUUCUGGGCGGUGCACUCGCCCGCGAUCAGGCCAGCAUCGGUUUUGAGCCGGUCGGAUUAAAGACCUCCGGAACGUAGCUCCCCCUCCGGGGAGUGGUUAUAGCCGGGGGUGCAAUGCCGACCCCGU